rnacentral:rRNA from 1 species
GAUGAACGCUGGCGGCGUGCCUAAUACAUGCAAGUCGAGCGAACAGACGAGGAGCUUGCUCCUCUGACGUUAGCGGCGGACGGGUGAGUAACACGUGGAUAACCUACCUAUAAGACUGGGAUAACUUCGGGAAACCGGAGCUAAUACCGGAUAAUAUAUUGAACCGCAUGGUUCAAUAGUGAAAGACGGUUUUGCUGUCACUUAUAGAUGGAUCCGCGCCGCAUUAGCUAGUUGGUAAGGUAACGGCUUACCAACGCAACGAUGCGUAGCCGACCUGAGAGGGUGAUCGGCCACACUGGAACUGAGACACGGUCCAGACUCCUACGGGAGGCAGCAGUAGGGAAUCUUCCGCAAUGGGCGAAAGCCUGACGGAGCAACGCCGCGUGAGUGAUGAAGGUCUUCGGAUCGUAAAACUCUGUUAUUAGGGAAGAGCAAAUGUGUAAGUAACUAUGCACGUCUUGACGGUACCUAAUCAGAAAGCCACGGCUAACUACGUG